rnacentral:lncRNA from 1 species
AUCACCGUGCGCAGCACGCACGCACACAGGGGUGUUUUAGAUAUCCUUCUAAGCAUCAGAUAAAUCUGAAAAAAUUUCAAAUAAAUAUCCAUUUAAAAUUAGAUUUAAAAAGAGAUAUAAUUUUAUUGAUCGCAUUCCAUUCAAAUCAAAUUUGAAAAAUAGAAGGACUCUCCAAAUGCGAGGAGUGACAUGAGUCAACUUUUGCAUGCGUGCCUCUGAUUCUUUCCAUCUUUCUAUGCCACAAAAUAUACAAAAUAUGAACAUCUCAAUCUUUGAGAUGUGUGCCAGAGGAUGGGGGGUGAUGUGGGCCACCACAUGUGUCUUAAAACCAAAUCAGAAGGACUUGUUCCUUCUGGUCACACCAAUAUGCACGUGCCCUUCAUUUUUGCACGUCUAGAGUCUAACCAAGCUUGGACUCUAGGUUGUGGUGCCCCAUAAGGCCAUGUGGUGCCAUCUAAUGUCUGCCACAUCUAGAUUUAAAUCUAAAUUAGCCCAUGACUUAAUUUGGUUAGAUCAAGAAGCAAGAUUCGAACCAAUUUCAAAUCCAAUUCAAAGAGCUAGGGUUUCCACAUGGGCUAGCAUGCUUAUCGAAAAUCCUAACUGGAUCCAAAACUCCAAUCAAUCUUGUCAAAAGGGUCCUUGAUUCUUUAUAUGUAUGACCCAUUGGGUUCCACAUCUAGCUAGUAGUAAAUCUAGAUGCAAGUUAAUCUAAUUUAAUUAGACUCUCUUCUAAUCGAUUAAGGUUCAAAAUGAGCUAAUCCGAGUUCAGCAAUUAUAACCCAUUCUCAUUAGCGAUUAAAUUAAACUCUUUACUUCGAUCAAGCCUACAAGUCAAGAUUGACGUCUAGUAACUAAAAGGAUAAUGCGCUACAAGCUAAUCACAUAUGGAAUGCGAUAGGAUAUUUAUUAUAAUUUAUCUUCUAGACUCAUGUAAUUGAUAUUUAUAUUAUUAAUAAAAUAAAUAUUUUUGAUUUAUUAUAUACUACAUCUUAUUAUUCUUAAG